GAUGAACGCUAGCGGCAGGCUUAAUACAUGCAAGUCGUGGGGCAGCAGGUUUGUAGCAAUACAGAUGCUGGCGACCGGCAAACGGGGUGCGGAACACGUACAGAACCUUCCUUUGAGCGGGGAAUAGCCCAGAGAAAUUUGGAUUAAUACCCCAUAGUAUAAUGAAGUGGCAUCACUUUAUUAUUAAAGAUUUAUCACUCGAAGAUGGCUGUGCGGCUGAUUAGGUAGUUGGCGGGUAAAGGCCCACCAAGCCUGCGAUCAGUAACUGGUGUGAGAGCACGACCAGUCACACGGGCACUGAGACACGGGCCCGACUCCUACGGGAGCAGCAGUAAGGAAUAUUGGUCAAUGGGAGGCAACUCUGAACCA
rnacentral:rRNA from 1 species